CAUGUGUUCCAUUCAUCCAAGUUAAAGCUAGCUUCCUUCCUUCGCUCUUUCUGUAUUUAUUCUUGUGUCCCUUCUUUUUCAUGAUGUCACUAUCACUGAGCUAAAUACAGCUCAACCAAUAAUAUAAGCAUCAGGCUUGAAUAUCUGUGCUAAAUCUGUCCAACUUACAGCAGUGCCAAUCUUGCUGCAAACUAGCAAGAAAAGGCAACUUCAAAAAAGAGCUUUUCUUAUUGCUACUGCAGAAGUAAUGAUCUGUUCUUCUUCCUUUUUUUUUUUUUUUUUGGGUAUUAAUUCUUGCCCCGCUGAACCAAAAUCCUUGCUCUGCCUCUGGUGGGAUUGUUGUGGAUCCACUGGGGUUUGUUACAAAACUUGUGCUCACAAUUUUUGAAAUGUGAACACAAUAAAUGGUGCCACAUUCUGGAGGCACAACCAUUUUGAUUGAUAGUGCCACUUUGAUUCUUUCACCUGGAAUCAUUGGAAGGUUCCCUACUUUGUUGGUGAAUAGAGUCUGAGUUUCUGGAAUUACAGAUUGCAAACCAUUAAAAACAUGCAAGUUUGAGAACUGAAUCAAUAUGCAGAACCUUCUUGAAAACUAAUAUGGUAUUAAGAGAUUUUCAUGAUUAUUGCGGUUGAUGUUGCCUACUUCUAUACAUCGUGUGCGCUUCAAUAUUAUGAUGAUGGUUGUUGAUGUUUUUUGAAUUCUUGCAUGAUUAUUCUGUCAAACUAUUCCACAGGUUGCACAAUGAAAAGAUGACUAAACUUCAGUCUCUCAAAGACGAGACUGAUCAUAUACAAUGUGCCAAAGUCAAUGAAAGAAAAAAGUCUCAAGAAACUUUGUAUAGAUGCAGUUACUUCUCGAGCUACAGAGCAAAAACCCACAACUCGGCAGUUGAAAUUAUUGAAGGAUAAGAAAGGGCGAAAAAAGUCGUCCACGUGGAGUAGCCUUCAUAGAGUUCACGGAGCAUCAACAUGCACUUGUGGCCCAGAGAGUUCUUAACAAUAAUCCAGAUACUUUUGGUUCUGAGCAUCGCCUGAUUGUGGAGUUUGCUUUAGAUAAUGUCCAGACACUGAAGCUUCGUAAAGAAAAACUUCAAGCUCAGAAGGCUUCUCUUGA